rnacentral:rRNA from 1 species
AUGAAUUGACGGGGGCCCGCACAAGCGGUGGAGCAUGUGGUUUAAUUCGAUGCAACGCGAAGAACCUUACCUGGUCUUGACAUCCACAGAACUUAGCAGAGAUGCUUUGGUGCCUUCGGGAACUGUGAGACAGGUGCUGCAUGGCUGUCGUCAGCUCGUGUUGUGAAAUGUUGGGUUAAGUCCCGCAACGAGCGCAACCC